rnacentral:rRNA from 1 species
GACGAACGCUGGCGGCGUGCUUAACACAUGCAAGUCGAGCGGAAAGGCCACUUCGGUGGUACUCGAGCGGCGAACGGGUGAGUAACACGUGAGUAAUCUGCCCCUGGCUUCGGGAUAGCCACCGGAAACGGUGAUUAAUACCGAAUAUGACAUGGACUCGCAUGGGCUUGUGUGGAAAGUUUUUCGGCCAGGGAUGUGCUCGCGGCCUAUCAGCUUGAUGGUGAGGUAAUGGCUCACCAUGGCUUCGACGGGUAGCCGGCCUGAGAGGGUGACCGGCCACACUGGGACUGAGACACGGCCCAGACUCCUACGGGAGGCAGCAGUGGGGAAUAUUGGACAAUGGGCGGAAGCCUGAUCCAGCAACGCCGCGUGAGGGAUGACGGCCUUCGGGUUGUAAACCUCUUUCAGUACCGACGAAGCGCAAGUGACGGUAGGUACAGAAGAAGCACCGGCCAACUACGUGCCAGCCGCCGCGGUAAAAC